GUGGGGAAUAUUGGACAAUGGGGGGAACCCUGAUCCAGCCAUGCCGCGUGUGUGAAGAAGGCCUUUUGGUUGUAAAGCACUUUAAGCGAGGAGGAGGCUACCGAGAUUAAUACUCUUGGAUAGUGGACGUUACUAGCAGAAUAAGCACCGGCUAACUCUGUGCCAGCAGCCGCGGUAAUACAGAGGGUGCGAGCGCUAAUCGGAUUUACUGGUCGUAGAGCGUGCGUAGGCGGCUUUUUAAGUCGGAUGUGAAAUCCCUGAGCUUAACUUAGGAAAUGCAUUCGAUACUGGAAAGCUAGAGUAUGGGAGAGGAUGGUAGAAUUCCAGGUGUAGCGGUGAAAUGCGUAGAGAUCUGGAGGAAUACCGAUGGCGAAGGCAGCCAUCUGGCCUAAUACUGACGCUGAGGUACGAAAGCAUGGGGAGCAAACAGGAUUAGAAACCCCUGUAGUCC
rnacentral:rRNA from 1 species